UCAUCCAACCCAAAAAUCCAAAAUCAUAAAAAAGUUCCCAAAAAAUUCAAUUUUUCUUAGGCAGACGAUUUUAAUGCAUAUUCUUGCACAAAAUACUCCUAAAAGUGUAGAAAAAAAUUGACAGCCAAAUACGAGUAGAGGAAGACUCCUAUUACCACCAAAAAGUCAUCCAACCCAAAAAUCCAAAAUCAUAAAAAAGUUCCCAAAAAAAUUCAAUUUUUCUUAGGCAGACGAUUUUAAUGCAUAUUCUUGCACAAAAUACUCCUAAAAGUGUAGAAAAAAAUUGACAGCCAAAUACGAGUAGAGGAAGACACCUAUUACCACCAAAAAGUCAUCCAACCCAAAAAUCCAAAAUCAUAAAAAAGUUCCCAAAAAAAUUCAAUUUUUCUUAGGCAGACGAUUUUAAUGCAUAUUCUUGCACAAAAUACUCCUAAAAGGGUAGAAAAAAAUUGACAGCCAAAUACGAGUAGAGGAAGACACCUAUUACCACCAAAAAGUCAUCCAACCCAAAAAUCCAAAAUCAUAAAAAAGUUCCCAAAAAAAUUCAAUUUUUCUUAGGCAGACGAUUUUAAUGCAUAUUCUUGCACAAAAUACUCCUAAAAGGGUAGAAAAAAAUUGACAGCCAAAUACGAGUAGAGGAAGACACCUAUUACCACCAAAAAGUCAUCCAACCCAAAA